AUAAAUAUGUUAUCUUUAUGCCUAUCUUUUGUGUCUAUGUGUCUGUUACCCGCUGCCACCACCAGCGUGGGGCAUGCCCCCCCCUUUUCUCGCUGCUUUUCUCAUGGCGGGCUCCACCAGCCCGCCCGGGGAUUGUUUUUAAGAAUAACAAAUGGUGCCACAUGACUCAGGGCCGGAGUUCCGGCUUUAGGCGCUGUCCGGGACUCUGAGCUCCCUCCCGGGGCAGAAUCAGGAUCUGAGGACCUUCUCUACAAUGACCCACGUGUUCCAUCUGCCUGGAUGCAGCUCCUCCAAACAACAGAUCAACUAAUCAGCGCUGACCAUUGGGCAAACCUGCCUUUUGUCUAAAGUAAAGACCUCUAGAUGUGGACAGAAUCGCUGGAAUCGACAGCCUAGCUGCUCAGGUCAAGGAACACCAGACAUUUCCAUGCCACAGACACCAG